rnacentral:lncRNA from 1 species
AAAUAAUAAAUAGUUUGAAUCCAUGAAAAUUAAGAUCUUCAGAAAACUUCAUAUAUCCUCUAUGGUUUACUACUAAUUUUUUUUCAUAUCAUAUUGUUUUAACUAUAUCAUUUAAGUAUCAUGUAAUUUUUGUUUUUUUUUUUUUUUUACACACUUCGUUAAAUUAUCGUUAAAAUAAUCACAUGUUUUUUUAUUUACAUAUAUAUUUAAAAUAUCAUUAUAUAUAUAUAUAUAUAUAUAAAAAAUAUUAUAUUAGAUUAUAAUUACAAAAUAAAAAAAUAAAAUUUUAAAUUAAAAAUAGUGCACUGGGUGCAUCACUAAAAAAAGUAACCCGACUCCACCCCCUGCUGGGAGAUCAACGGAGGCCAUGGGCCCACGUGGCUCCGGUGCCACACGGCGCCCAUCCGGGAUUGUCCCCAAACAAAAAUUGUUUGGGCCAUUCCCCGUAUAAUUUUUGUCCAACCAGAAAAGCACACGUAUUCUAAACGUCAUUAUCAGAUGAAUUACAAUUUAAAUCCCCGGAUAAAAUCGCAUUAUGAUAUGAUGAUGAUAUAUAUUAUUUUAAAAAAGCGUUGACUAGAUAAAUCCGUUGACAAUUACCGCGCCUAUUAAAGCACUCCAUUGAACGAACAAAACGAACCAUCCCGAAUCAUACUCUUCAACCUGCUCAAACCCUCCCCUCUCUCUCUCUCUCUCUCUCUCUCUCUCUCUCUCUCUCCAUUUUUUUUCGAUCUCUUUCGCUCCUCCGCGUAUUGAGUAGCCAUGGGGGCUUGCGAUCGCAAUCGCUUCUUCGAGUUCUUCGUUGAGUAGAGAACUCGAUCGAUUUCGAAGAAGAAGAAGAAGAAGAGGAAGAGGAAUAGGGGUCUCUUCACUGAUUCGGCUCAAUUUCGCUUCGUUUCUCCUCUCCUUGGUCGAGUAAGAUCGUUAAUGGCGAUGGAUGAGGAGAAGGAGAACAACCGUACGGGUGAUCCGGAGCACGGACACGGGCGAAAUCAGCAACAGCAUCAGCAGCAGCAUAAGCUUGAUGUGUACCAUGAGGUCGUUCGUCGACUUAGGGCAUCGAAUGUGCCCGAGGCGCUCACCCCCGCCUUUGAGGAUGAGCUUUGGGCUCAUUUCAACAGCCUCCCUGCGCGGUAGAUUCCUCUCUCUCCAUGUUUUCACUCUUUCUGAUGGAAGAUUCCCAUUUUUACCUUGUGAUUGGGUGAUUUCGAUUGCUAGAUUAGUGGUUUCAAUUCGUAGAUGUCGUUAUCUCUGCAUUCGUUCUGAUGCUGUUGCAACUUGCAAGUAGAGCAAAGAACAAAGAAAAAACUCUGAUGAGGAAAUAAUGGUCAAUAGAUGUGGAAUUUGCUUUUAGGAUUAUGAUGCUUGGAAUUUAGAGUUUAUGAUUGAUGUUUUUGAUCAUCUGUUUAAGCCGCAAAAAAACUGAUUGGUUGAAUGAGUUUGUUGAUCGGUAUAUGCCUGUCUUGUUUGUUUGCUCAGGGCCUGACCUUUGAUUUUGUUCUGUUCCUCAUUCGAUUGCUGUUGUAGAUACGCACUUGAUGUGAAUGUUGAGAGGGCAGAAGAUGUUCUAAUGCAUAAGAAGUUGCUGGGGCUGGCUCGCGAUCCUCCUAACCAGCUAGCUUUCUGGGUGCGGAUAAUUCAGGUAAAGGAUUUCAUAAUGCUCUUCAUCUUCUUGCAUGUCGAUUCGUGAAGGCUUGGUUGAUUUUCAUUUAAUUCAUGCAAUAUUUCUAUAUUUGGGCAAAACUUUUUUUUUUAAUUUUUUUUAUCUUUUUUAAUCUAGGAUUUAUUACAAUUCACUUACCUGUAAAAGCUGUCGAAAUGAGAUGCUUUUGAAAUAAUACAGUUUGCCGACUUGUUUAAUUCUUGUCUGUUAUGGUACAACAGUUGCUGUUCACUAUAUACGAGUUUCUACCUUGCUAGUGCUACCUGGCUCUAGUUUCUAUUUGGUGCAGUUUGUAUUUUGGUCGAGGCAAGCGGUCUCUCCUGGCUUUUGUGGAUGAUGUUCCUUUGCUAACAACUCUCAGUAAAUCUGAAGGAAUAAUUGUGGUGGAAUUCUCAUUAAGCCUUUUCUUUUGUUGGUUGAAUCACCUCAUCAACCUACCAAACAACCUUCAUUGAAUAGUUUCAAUUAGAUUACUAAUUUGGCAAAUUAUGCAAACUUAUAUUCUAUCUGUCCCGUUAUUCGAUGUAAUGAAAUAAAUUAUUUUUUUACGGUUAUUUUUAUUUUCAUAUCUUAUACACAUGGAGGUUUCAUUUUCAUUAUUCCGAUUCAAUAUUCUGCUAUCUCAUGAAUUGUCUUUAGUUUUAGUUCAGUUUUGUGCUUUGACAUUCUCAUUCUUUUUCUUUCUCCUUUAGUUGAACUUAACAUGGGCUAGUCCACGUUGAUAACGUUGCAUUUUAUGCAUUACCUCGCAGUAAUAUUUUUCUUCUUUAGGUAUCUUCAGUUUUCGAUGAAGAUCAGGAUGAAUCUUUUGUUUCCAACACAAUGGGCAAAAAAGUUUCUUCUGCUUUAAUGAGAAAACAAAGGUGUGCUUGCUUCUUUUGUCAUUUAAAUGAUGUUUCUAACUGUCCAAUUUUUGGUUCUCACACCUUCAAAGUUAUUUGUUUACUGUUUCUCAUAACUUUUCUUUUUUCAUAAUUUGUCUUCUAUUUCCCUCAGCAUUCAUGCACCUCCUGCUUUUGGUUCAUCUAUGAACCUUGAGGCUCUUUCUCUUGAAGCCGACAAAUCUGGUGACCAAGAUGAUGAUAGUGUUGUAGAUUCUGUUCAACAUAAUGCCAGGUUAUGCUUGUUUCUCGGCUGUCUUUGUGUCUGCAAUUAGUUAUUGCCCCUAUAAUAGUAUGUUAAUCCAAGAUGAAGUCAUGAAAUAAAUUAUUCGGUAGUAAUGUUGCAAUAUAUUUGGAAUCCUAUCUCAUUUAAAACUAAAUAAUUAUUGUUGAAUUGUAAGCACUACUAUUAGCGAUUUCUGGAUGAAAUGAAUAUGAAGAGCUGCCCCGACAGUAUUUGAUUUCUGUUUUCUUCUAAUUUGCGUCACGAAGACAUAAAUUUUUAACUUUAGAAUUUAAGUAUUUUGAUGUCUUGUAAUCCUGGGUGCCUUUGUGUCUCAUUUUCUUUUAAAAAGCUACAUUUUGGUAGCAGAAGGAAAUCUUUGUUUAGUUUGAAUUUUACUUGGUUUGAUUUUUCAAAGCCGUUAGAGUCUCAUGACAGGAUUAUUGUAUACACUACUGACAUACCUCUAGUUGAUUUUGUUGAAAAGUAGGAUAGUAGAUCCUUAGGAAUUGGAUUCUUUGUCCUUAAAUUGCAUCCUAUAUGUAGCAUCAAAAAAAAAAAAAAGCCAGUCAGCCAUGAAUUUGUACCCCAAUCGUAUAUUCUAUUGUUGUUCUUUGGUCUUGAUAGAUUAGUCAACACUAGAUCCAUUUUCCGAAUGAACAGAAUUUUAUGGGCAGAACCUUACGGACAAUAAAACAAAAACUUCUAAUUCAACUGCGUUGUUUGUUCUAUAGUUGCUGAGACUAUUUGUUCUGUUAAUCUGGCUGCUCUGCUGGUUGGACUCGCUGAAAUCCUUUGCGGCUAAUGGAAUAUGAUCUGGAGCCAUAUCCCCUUUUUGUGUCUAUUUAUCAUUUAGAGUGACUGAGUUUCUUUCCUUUUAUCUUCAUGUAUGUCUGUUCCUUCUGUAGUCAACCACUGAGGAGUCUUUGUUCUGCUGAUAAGAAGUCCCUACGUCUUAAUUGUUUGAAAUUUGUUAAAUUUGUCGAUUACAAGUUCAGUAGUUCUCCCAAAGAGUUGGAUUUUGUUUUCUCUCUUUUCCUAUUUAUAGUACAUCUUCACCUGUGAGCCAUGGGACAAUUAAUAGUAACACUCGUCAUCCGUUUUAUUAAGUUGCUUUUGUUAUUUCUGCAUUUGUUUUCCUUCAAGCUUAUUUUAAACUCCAUACAUUCUGCUUCUUUAUACUUGGUGUUCAAUCUGUAAGUGCCGCAUAUAAUGCCGAAUUGUAUGAUCUUUCAGGCCUAUUCAUGAAAUCACUUUCGCAUCGCUGGACAAGCCAAAGCUUCUUAGUGAGGUAUAACUCAAGUCAUCUUCUCAAGACAUGUUUGAAUUUGAAUUAUCAUUUCAUAGACAACAUCAAAGUCUUAUUGAGCUAUUCCAAACAAGAGAUUCGACAUUUCUAGCAUCCAUUCAAGACCUUGCCAAAACCGUCAUGGCCCAAUUAUGUAUAGGCCGUACCAAGCCAAUAGCGAAUAACAAACUCUUCCUUGCUCCCUCGACCUUAAUUAACUCCCAUCCUGCCAAGCCUCAGCUGCCAGGGCAUGAAUCAAGUGGAAUGAAGUGUCGCUUCGGGAAACAUCGUUAUGGCAGAUUUACCUUCUCAACAAACAACAAGACCUAGCCCCUUCUAGAUCAUCUGCAGAGACACUGGAACAAGGCAAGACCAAACCUCCCCUCUAUGAUGUAUGAUGGGGAGGCCUGGAUGGAAUGAAGUGGAUGUAUUCGCUGUGGAAGAGAUAGAGACAGGAUUUGAGAAUGAUAAACUAGAGCAGAACAGUAUCUAUCCUAAAGUACUGAUCCCUCCGAAUGAAAGGAAAGCUCUUUUCUUUGGAAACCAUGGCGCAGAGCACUGAUCGUGAUUACUGUUGCCUUGAGGCAGAUUCAUUAAUAAUUUUGUUAUCACCGGGGUUUUCGAUAUUAAGAAUUAGCUAAUUCAAGUUGAAAGUUAGCUUGGGUUGUAGCCCCGAGGAGAGGCAGAGAGAGAGUAAAAAGAAAACGUAAAAAUUGAGAAGGAACAAACAAUAACUAGAAAGCACAAAGAAAAAUGAAAUGAAGACGCAUCAGAAUUAGAUGAAGAACACAAUGAACCAGUAAAAAAUAGGUAAGGGAAAUAUAUAGGAAAUUAAACUGAAAAAUGAAGCUUAAAGAAAUAAGGAUCAGGAUGGAUUGAAAGAAAGUAUUAAAGAAAGAACAUAGAGAACUAUAUGAAAAGUUUUCCGCCUCCCUUAUCUAGCUAGACUUAGUUCGUGUGGGAAAUAAAUAAUGUUUAUACACAGUUAUGUACAAGAAAUACUAGAAAUUUCUCCUAUGAGGAACUUCAAAUAUGUUUUUCAUGAUCUCAGCUUUUGUAUUAGCAAAUCCAGCCUCUGGCUUCUAAAGGGUCAUGCAGAAUUCUUAUUAUUCCACUCUAUGUAGAUUUGCAGAUCGUCUUUUCGUGUCGUCUUUUUUCAUGAAGAUUUCUGAUGACAUCCUUAAUUUGAUAUUUCAGCUGACUUCUCUGCUUGGAGAGAUUGGACUUGAUAUUGAGGAAGCUCAUGCCUUCUCAACAAAUGAUGGUUACUCACUAGAUGUUUUUGUGGUUGUUGGCUGGCAUUAUGAGGUACUUCCUAGGUCCUUCGAUUUGUCAUUUCUCAUUUGUUUAUGGCAUUACUCUGGGUCCUGUUACAUUUUCUCUUUACUUUAUCACGAGUGCGGUGAUAAGUCUGACAUGCCGUAUUUUGUGCAUGUUACAAAAUAUUGCUACUAUGUGCAAAUUUUGCAUAUAAAAUAUAACUGCAAAAUGAAUUUGCAUUAUGAUUGUGUGCUUUCUGCUUUAGUUAUUUGAGCAAGUAUGCCAGCAAUGUGGUGUACUGAAGUGAUGUUCAUCAGAAACUUAUCAUUGCACUUGUGCACGUAAAGAAGAUUGAAAGAAGGACUUUUCAAUCUGAACACAAAAUGUUUUCAGCUUACCAGCAACACAAGUUAGCUUGUCUUUUAGGGUUUUGUACGUUGUUUGUUGCAUAAAUGCAUACAUGAAUAUAUCAAAUGCAGUGCUAAGAAGCUACGAAUAGUAAGUUUAUCUUUUCAUUCUUUCAAGCUCUCUCCUUGAUGAGUAGAGAACAAAUCAAUUUGAGCUAGUUGAUUAUUAAAAAAAAUACAAAGGUUUAUCAAUAACUUUAAGGUCACUUUAUCAAAUUUAAAAUGUGUGUUGCCACUUGUUAUAAAUCAAUGUAGAAUUCUUCAUAAUAGAUCUAUCAUUUUGUUUCAUUUCUAUUGUGAAAAAAUCCUUUACAGGACUUUUUUUUUUUUGAUCUUAUUGUGUAAUUGAUGAAUAAAUCUCACCAACUUGUUUAUUUAAUAUAGGAAACUGAGCAACUCAGAGAAGCAAUUCAGAAAGAAAUUCAUAGGAUCGAGGUACUCUCUCUCUCUCUCUCUCUCUCUCUCUCUGUUACAUGAACUUCUUGCGUACAUAUUGGUAUAUUAUUACUUUUGCAGUCAAUGUCUUCUAAAUCCUUUCUUCUUUUGGAAAUUUGUCCAUUUCUUUGAAAAACAUCAGCAAGCAUGGCCUGAUUCCUGGGCUCCUGCAAUGGAAAACAAGCGUGGCAAGCCUGACCAUGUUGAAAUACCUAAAGAUGGGACUGAUGAGUGGGAAAUUGAUGUCAAGCUACUUAAAUUCGGGAACAAAAUGGCAUCUGGAUCAUUUGGUGAUCUGUAAGUUUUCCUUGCAUAGAAUAUUCUUUAUGUCAUUCUCCAGUAACAUUACUACAUGUUUUAAAUUUUAACUUCUUUCUAGUUAUCGGGGUACAUACUGUAGCCAGGAUGUUGCCAUCAAAGUACUCAAGCCUGAACGCACAAAUAUGGAUAUGCUGCGGGAAUUUGCUCAGGAAGUGUAUAUCAUGAGGUUGGUUAGAAAAGAGUGCUUUAACUUUUACAGUAUUGUAAUUUAGUUUUUCUCUAUUUAGCACCUACUCCUUCCUCACUUGACAAAGAACAACUGGUCCUGUGACAUGCUAAUGUAGUUUUACACUGGUGUGAAACCAUAAAUUAACCUUCAAACAUCUUAUAUUUUCUUGUAAUUUGGUUUGAAGAACUAAAUACGCCAUGUCUUUCCCGCAUGAAAUUAUUUGCUUGAAUCCUUUUUUUUUUGAACUUCAACUGCCUAAGUUUUCAUGUAAGCUUCUAUUGUUUUCAGAAAAGUUCGCCACAGGAAUGUUGUGCAGUUUAUUGGUGCAUGUACCAAACCUCCGAGCUUAUGUAUUGUUACAGGUAGGGUCAUAGAAAUACUUAGGCUAGCGGUUAGCAGAUCUGUCAUUCCAUGUAAUGCGGUGCUGAUAAAUCUUCUCUCUUGCUGGUAGUUGGUGCUGAGGAUUUUCUUUUUUUUCCUAUUUUGUGUAUUAUCCACAGAAUUUAUGCAAGGGGGCAGUGUGUAUGAUUACCUCCAUAAAAGAAAAGGUAGUUUCAAGCUUCCAGCUUUAGUAAGAGUUGCGAUUGAUAUAUCAAAAGGAAUGAGCUACUUGCACCAAAACAACAUCGUCCACCGAGAUUUGAAGGCUGCAAAUCUCCUUCUGGAUGAAAAUGAGGCAAGUGAUUUAGCAACGUGCUGUUGUUAGUAUAUGUGGCACACAUUGAUGUAGGAUCUAAACCUAGCAAUUAGUAUAUAAGAGAAUUCUUGAAAUUGAAAUUAUAAGGACUUGUCACAGGAAGAUGAAGGAACGAGUUUUUCAUGGUAAAUGAUUUGUUUACUUAUCUAAAAAUUAUCUAUUUAAUGUUAAUGUUUUAUAUUUGAUGAUCUGUUUGGGUUCUUUUCCCUUUUUAUUACUGGGUUCAAUGUACCUUCUUUUUACAAUUUUUAUCCCCCUCAGUUUCUUUCUCUGGGCAUCUAUCCUGUUACUAAUUAUAAUUUGGAUCAGAUUAUUUGGAUGCAUCUGACCUCAAAUAAAUCAUUCAUUGGCCAGGUUGUUAAGGUUGCUGAUUUUGGAGUUGCACGAGUCAAAUCUGAAACAGGGGUUAUGACUGCAGAAACUGGAACAUAUCGUUGGAUGGCACCUGAGGUAAUAUUUCUAUUUCAAGUAUCUAUAUUUUCCCAGUUAUAUGUGUCAUAAAUUAUGAGAUUAUGUAUCAAUUUAGAGGCAAGAAUCUUACUGGUUUGUGGUUUGGUUUCACUUAGGUCAUAGAGCACAAGCCUUAUGACCACAAGGCUGAUGUGUUUAGCUUUGGAAUAGUGAUGUGGGAGCUGCUUACAGGAAAGGUAAUUUCACCAUAUUCGUAAAGCCAUGCCUGUCAUCAACUAAAGUAAGUCAUUUUUAGAGUCUAUACUUACAAAAUAUCUUUUAUUGAGACAGAUUCCAUAUGAAUACCUAACACCACUACAAGCAGCAGUUGGUGUAGUUCAGAAGGUAAGCGUCCUCUUUGAACUUACUAAUUCUCAGAACCCAAAAUUAUUUCACAAUCAACUGAUGCAAUUUUUAUUUGUGCAAAUAUUUGAGCUCUGUUAUGUGGGAGAGUGCUCUAAAACAAAUGAGAGGCUAGAUUUGUUUUAUACUACUAGAUACGGGUUCAGAAAGGUUUUAUCUAGUUUCGUCAUUUGUGACAUGCUAGUCGCUAAUUGCUAUGCAUGCUGGGAGGGCACAAUUGUAAUUCUGGCAAGUAGAUACGCUUGAAGAAACUAAAAAUAUCUCAAUUAGUUCUUGUUUGCAAUAAGAUCAAAACUGCAAAUCUCUCUAGAAAUGGUGCCAAUAUUAAGCUUGAGUAGGAUUAGGACAUCUGGAACUUAAUUAUGGAUGCUUGGUUAACCAACUUGGGAUCAUCAAAGCAGCCCAGUUUUGAUCAGACAAUGUGCUCGUUGGUGGCUUAAAACUAUCAGGAAUUGGUAAAUCUAGAAAUACUGAGAUUAGUAUUCCAUUAGAGUGCCAAUACCUAAUGAGGAUUAAUGAAAAGGGUGCUCAAGGUCGACCCUUAAAUUAGCUUCUAAGCUAGUGCAAUAGUUCUGAUCUACAAUACCUCAGAUGUUAUAUUUCAAGAAGAAUCUGUACUGGUUUCUAUUAGAUUGCCGAGAGUGUGCUAAGAAUUUCACAAAAUUACUAGCAUCACUUGCGUGUGCUCAGCUAGUUCACAACAUGGGCACGUUUUCCUAUAAUCAUUAGAAAAUUGCUUCUUAUCUGCUUUCUCUACAGGGCCUUAGACCUCUGAUUCCAAAGGACAUCCAUCCUAAACUUGCUCAUCUACUUGAGGAGUGCUGGCAACAAGACCCUAGUAAAAGGCCAGAGUUUACUGAACUAUUGGCGACUCUUCAACAGAUUGCCAAGGAGGUUAGUAUAUUGGAUUUUACUAUCGUGCCAUCAAUUACUACUGUAGCUAACUACCUAGUGUUCUAAUCAAUAAAUAUAUGGAACAGAUUGAUGAGCAUGCGGAUCACCACAAGGAAAAAUCAAGGUUUCUUUCAGUUCUAAGGCGUGGCCAUUGAAGUUGGAAUGCUGUCCGAUGACUCCAAUCUGCAUGUGUGUUGAUCUCUUGCAGAAAUUCUAGUACCUCCGAUGAGGUACACAAUUUCAGUGUACAGUAUUUUAUUUUAAUAACUUUGUUAUUUAAUCGAGAAUCCCAAAUGUCAGGUUGCAAUUCGUUUUUUGUUAUCAACAUGUUCUUCCAUUUCUGUGCUGUGAUUUGUUAGUUUUUUCUCAUUGACAAGUAUGUACAGUAGGAAAAGAGUUACGUAUUUUCAGCACAUAUGUUACUAAACAGUUUAAUUUUCCACAUAAGAAGUGAUAACAUAACUCAGUUGUUUGUGUUAAUCUUUUUGUCGUUAUGAGAGAACUUUUGUUGGUUUUGCAUCUUUCAAUGAGCUGUGAUAUUUUACUAAGGUUUUCUUGUAGGUUUUAUGUGUUUGACGCAAAGGGUCAUAAAAUUAGCGUGUCCAAUCUCAUAUUCGGGUGCACAAUAUCCGCAGCUCUGUACGCAAGAUUUUUUGCGACUGCAUGGUAGAAUAAUUUCCUGCAUAAAAAAAAUUCUGUGCACGGAACUAUAUAGAAAAAUCACACCCUUUUCCCAUAGUUCUUGCACAAAUUCCUACUGCGAACUCAAACCAAUUAUGAUUUGUCCACCCAAAUACGUGACAUUAAUGUCAAGACACUUCCCCUAGAGUACUGAUUUUUCUCAGUAACUAUUUACUCUGGGCAAGUAAAACGAAAGAGAUCUAUGAGGCAAAUUACCGAACACCUAGAGAACAAAAAUGGGCCCAACCCCAUAAGGUGUUUGUCAUCGGCAUGAUGGCGAAAUAUAAUGAUGAGCGCACAAACAGAAACGUAAUAGACGAAUAUAAAGUAGACAAAUCAUAGAAAAUAGAAAAUAAAAUGAACACAAAAAUUUACGUUAAAAAACUUUUUGUAGGAAAAAAUUAUGGGCAGAGGAGAAAAAAAGUUUAUUAUGUGAAAAAGAGAAUACAAUAUUAUGAAGAUUGCAAUAUGCUUCAUUGCAUUUAGGGCAAAAGUGGAGAAGAAAAUUUCUAAACGGGUUCUUUUUAACGGAUCCGCUGCCUACCACAUGCAUUCUUUUUUUUUUUAUAAUUUAUUUUUUGAAAAAAAAAUUAUCGCACCAUAAAAUUAUCGAUGAGUCGAAGGCUAAAACUGAAAUCGAUUACAAAAUUUGGAGACACAUCUAACAGUUUUAAUGCAAUAUUAUCCAGUAAGAUCAAUAUGAUACAAAGCUAAGUUUAUUUCUAAAAGAAAUAGAUAAAGCGGAUAAUAUGCUAUUUUUCUCUUAAAAAAAAAAAAACAUACGCAACAAAACAAUCAUUUUGUGCCAAGUUAGAUGCAGAAAAGCUCAAUUAAGGAUAAUUUGAUAAUCGCACACAAUAUGAAGAUAUUUGACCUGAUGUUGCAAAUUAUAUUUGUAAUAAAUGUGACAGAGAAAACUUUCUCAAAACUAAUUGUGAUCUCUUUCCAUUCAAGAACAUGAAAUUACCAUCAGCACAUUGCACCAACAUCUGUGAUUACUCUUUUAGUUACUAUUUUCCCCCCAGCAAGAAAAACAAAAGAGAUCCAACACCCUCAGAGGCAAAUUGCCGAACAUCUUAGAGAACAAAAAAAGGCCACACCCGUAAGGUGUUCGACCUCGGAACCGUGGCGAAAGACAAUGAAAAAAAUGGCUUCACUCACCCAAUUUCUUGUGGAGAUUCGGGGGAACCCACCAAAGCGUCGGCCAUGGAGUAUACACUCUGCACUCACCCUCGAUGCUGCGCACUCUGCACUCAAGCUCGAUGCGGCGCCGGCCCACAAUGACGUUCUUGAGCUGGAACUGCCAAAUGUUUGCAGUGUAGUUAUUGCGUGGAUCUUCCGAAGUAUGCUGAUAGAUUUCCGUGAGGUAGACGCUAGUGCCUUCGAAUCCAGGGACAUGCGUUGACGCCACCGACAUUGAGUUGCAUUGCCCCAAGAACCAGAUCCGGCCGCCGAUAUCUGCGGGCACCACCGUUACCUUGUCGGGCAAUGUGCUGAAGUCGAGCCCACAAAAUGUAAAUCUGCCUACUUUUCCUGGGGUAAUAAAAUUCACCAUAACCAGCAACACAUUCCCCGCUGAUUUGACCAAGAAUGGCGUUCCCAAAACCGGCAAUUUGCGCACUCUCGUGAAGAAGCUGCCGCCGCCGCCACUGCUGCUGCCCCCGUCGGUUGCUGAGGCGAACUCGAAGAUGGCGCAGUCUCCGUUGGGGCCGAUGGCGAAGCAGCGGCGGUCUCUGUAGAAUAUGAUUUCUUGGGGAAUGAACUUGGGGUGGUCGCGGAUGGUCCAGAGGCGGUCACCGCUCCCCCAGGUCAAGCAGCGGGAUGUCGCUGUGUCGACGAAGAGGGCCACCAAGAAGUCGCGGUCGGCGGAAGGGUCGGAGGAUAAGAUGGCUCGGCGGAUGAAAAAGUGGUGCUCGAACAGCAGAUUCCUCAUGAAGGGGUCGGGGGAGGUGAGGCCGAUGGUGCCGUCGAGGGGAGGGAGUCGGAUCGUGUCGCCCGUGACGGGGUUGCGGAGGACAAGGUUAAAAUCGGGAAAGAGGAGGAAGAGCCACCCGUAGCAGGAGCCGAUGCAGACGCUCUCAUGGGCGUCGGCGAGGUGGCGGAGGGCGAAGGUGCGAUUGGUGGUGAGGGAGAAGAAGGCGGGGUAGGCGGGAUCAUCAGCGCGGCAGCGGCUAAAGAAAGGGAGGAGGAAAGGGAACUGCGGGGGGAGGCGGUGCGGGCCGGGCACGGUGGCGGGGAGCGCGGCUCUCCAACUCCGGCACACGCCGCGGAGGGUGGCGUAGGUGGCGGCGGAGGUCACGUGCUUGGAAGCAACGUCGAUGAGGAUGUCGGUCGUAAAGUGCGACCAACUGUUGUAGGUUGCCCUCCUUCUCUUUGGAUCACGAGUCUCCAUCCUUGGCGCCUAUUAACUAACUGAGAUUCGAAAAGAGGGGGAACGGGGACUACAUUGAGUAGGUCUUGUGUGCUAUUAGGAUGCUAUUAGGAGCAUGAAGGCUUCCGUGUUUCUAAAUCAUUUUUAAUGAUGGAGCUUACGAAUCGACGAUCGGCUCCGUUAAACUUGAUCUAGCAUAUUUAAAGUAUCUAGAAAAUAAAUUUUGUAAUUUUUCGAUAUCAUUACCUAACGAUCGAAAGGGUUCAAAAUCAAAGGCUGAAAAUAAAAAUCUCACAAAAAGUGGUGAUAUAGUAUUAAAAUUUUCGAUCAAACAUAUUGAUCUUGCUAUAAAUAGUAUAAAGAAUUUUCUAUCAAAAUUUUAUCUGAUUUGAAUACUUCUACAUCGUUAAAUUUGCAAACGGUAUACAUCAACCAUUAAAAAUUAUUGAUUUUAAACCCUUUUGAUCGAUAGGUAAAUAAUAUCGAAAAACCGCAAAAUUUAUUUUGUAGAUACUUCAAACAUGCUAGAUCAAUUCUAACGGAGCCGAUCGUCGAUUCGAAAACUCCAUCAUCAAAAACAAUUUAGGAGCACGGAGGGCUCCGUGCUCCUAAUAGCACACAAGACCUACUAUAUAUAUAUAUAGAGUUGAGCUAGAAUACUCUCGAUAGUAAACGGGGCAUUUUACUAUCGAGUUGUUUUCGAUGAUAAAGCUUCCAAAUUGACGAUCGGCUCCGUUGAACAUGAUCUAUACCACUUAAAGUGUUUAGAAAUCAAAUUUCAAAUCUUUUCGACAUCAUUUGCCUAAUGAUCAAAGGGAUUCAAAAUUUGUAAUUUUAAUGGUGGAUAAGAGACGUUUUUUCGUUUAACGGUGUAAAGAUAUCCAAAUCAAUUGAAUUUUUGUUAGAAAAUUCUUUAAACUAUUUAAAACAAGAUCUAUACUCUUGAUCUUGAUUACAAGACUGCCUAUCGAUCAUUUUUAAAGAAUAUUCAUUUUCCACAAUUCAUUUUUUGUUCACUAGAUGAUAAAAGAACAAUAUCAAAAGUGCGUGAAAUUUGAUUUCUAAGAGUUUAAAUGGUUUAGAUCCAUAUUUAACGGAGCCGAUCGUCAAUUUGGAAGCUCUAUCAUCGAAAACAACUCGAUAGUAAAAUGCUCGUUUACUAUCGAGAGUAUUCUAGGCUCAUCUCUCUCUCUCUCUCUCUCUCCUCUAUAUAUAUAUAAUAUAUAUAUAUUAUAUAUAUAGAGAGAGGAGAGAGAGAGAGAGAGAGAGAGAGAGAGAGAGAGAGAGAGAGAGAGAGGAGUCUAGCUAUGGUGCUUACAAAAGCACCAAGCACUUGGUGCUUGUGAAUUUUUUACCAUUAAAUCUACGCUUUUAAUCAUUUUACCCGUUAGAUUAUACUAUUUAACCAACUAAACACUCAACUCUAGGGGGCCUACAUCAUUCUAUACCGCACAUCACUUAAUUCAAGGCCGAAAACUUACAAGCAACAAUAACUCGGUACUUUUAAAAGCAAUAGGACUUAAUUAUAUAUAAUAUAUAUAUAUAUAUAUAUAUAAUAUAUAAUUAUAUAUAUAUAUAUAUAAUAUAUAUAUAUUAUAUAAUAUAUAUAUAUAUAGUUCGGGUACUAUACUAUCGAUAGUACUAAACCCUUGAUACUAUUGAGUUUUCUACUAUUAGAACUCUACCCUUUGAUCAUUUCCAAUCGUUAGAUUAUACUAUUAAACCAACCACGUACUCAACCCUAGGGGACCACUAUCAUUUAACGGGGACCACUAUCAUCCUAACUGCACAUCUUUUCAUCCCAACGGCAAAAACUCAAUAAUAUCAAAGGCGUUUGAUACUAUUGAUAGUAGCAUAAUUUUAUAUUAUAUACUAUAUAUAUAUAUAUAUAUAUAGAGAGAGAGAAGAGAGAGAGAGAGAGAGAAGAGAGAGAGAGAGAAGAGAGAGAGAAGAGAAGAGUUCAGCUGCUAGAGCAGCUGCUGUACUCUAAGGAGCACGGAGGCCACCGUGCUCCUGAGCCGUUUCGAUGAUGAAAUUUUCGAAUCGACGAUCGUCUCCGUUAGACUUGAUCUAGCGGCAUUUGAAGUUUCUAGAAAUAAUUUUGCGAUUUUUUGAUAUCAUUUACCUAGUGAUCGAAAGAUUCAAAAUCCAUAAUUUUUAAUGGGUGAUAUCUGCCGUUUUCCAAGUUUAACGGUGUAAAUAUUCAAAUCAGAUGAAAUUUUGAAACAAAAUUCUUUAUACUAUCUACAAAAAAAUCAAUAUUUCUGAUAAAAAAUUUUAGUGCUAUAUCACCACGUUUUAUGGAAUUUUUAUUUUCAGUCGUUAAAAUUAUGUGAUUUUGUGAAUCCUUUCGAUUGCUAGGUAAAUGAUAUCGAAAAAUCGCAAAUUAUUUUCUAGAAACUUUAAAUACGCUAGAUCAAGUUUAAACAGAUGUCGAUCGUCGCUUCGGAAACUCUAUCAUCGAAAAUGUCAGGAGCACGGAGGCCUCCGUGCUUCCUGAGAGCAAGCAGCAGGCGCUCCCAGCUACAUAUCUUUUAUGAGUAUUGACUCCCUUAUACUUAUAAGUUUUCGGUUCUUAGUUAUUCCAUGAAUAUAUCCAUCCGUUAGAUUAUACUAUUUAACCAACUAUCUACUAAACCUAAGGACCACUAUCAUUCUAAGUGGGAACCACCAUCAUCUAACCACACAUCCAUCAAUCAACGUUAAAAUUUAUGAUACAAGGGGUCUAUACUUAUAAGAGUAUAGUAACCAGCAUAUAUUAUAAUAUAUAUAUAUACUCUAUAUAUUAUAUAUAUAGUAUAUAUAUAUAUAUAUUAUAUAUAUAUAUAUAUGAACUAGCUAAUAUACUAUUAAUAGCACACAGUUAUUGGUGUAACAGUUUUUCGCACAUUGGAUUAAGAGAUGUGCGUUUAUGAUGAUGUGGGCCCCCUAGGCUGAGUAAGUGGUUUGUUGAUAGUAUGAUUUAACAGGUGAAAAUGAUCAAAACGGUAGAUCUCUACGGCGGAAAACUUGGUAGUACAGUAGCUUCGUGCUAUUAAUAGUAUAGUAGCCGACCUCUCUCUCUCUCUCCUCUCCUCUCUCUCUCUCUCUUCUCUCUAUAUUAUAUAUAUAUAUAUAUAUAUAUAUAUAUAUAGAGAGUCCGGCUACUAUACUAUUAUGAGUACGAUCGCCUCGUACUCAUACGUUGUUUUUGAUGAUAGAGCUUCCGAAUCGACGAUCCACACCGUUAAACGUUUAUCGCAGAACAUUUGAAACAUCUAGAAAUCAAAUUUCUAAUUUUUCGACAUUAUUUAACUUACGAUCAAAAGCUCACAAAAUUGACAUUUUUAACGGCCGUAUGGAAUACUUGCUAGUUUAACGGUGCAAAGAAUCCGAAUAGGUUGAAUUUUUGAUAGAAAAUUCUAUUCCGUACCUAAUAAAGAUCAAAAACUUGAUCUUAAAUUGAAGGAUCCGAUCAUCCAUUUAAGACAUCGUUCGAUUUGACGCGUUCAUUUUAUGCCGCUUGAUAGAGUUAUUAUGAUUUCGAAAAUUAACGAAAUUUAUUUUUAGAAGUUUUAAAUACUCUAGAUCAUUAUUUAACGGAGUGGAUCGUCGAUUCGGAGUUCGCUAUCAUCAAAAACAAACUUAUGAGUACGAAUGGUCCAAUACUCAUAUAGUAUAGUGGCCUAGCCUACUAUAUCUAUCUAUAUAAAUAUAUAUAUUAUAUAUAUAUAUAUAUAUAUAUAAUAUAUAUAUAUAAUUUGUGAACCCAAAGGAAGCCUCCUUGGGUUUGGAGGGCUUCCGGUUGGGAGUUUGGGACCACUUUUUUCUUUUCUCAAUUUUUCUUACAGUAAGUGUAAAAUUUUAUCGCAUGAAUCAACCCUAUGUUUUAAUAAUAAAAUUAAAAUUUCAUCUAAUAAAUAUUAACAUUUUUUUUUCUACAUCAAAUAUAAAAUUUUAUUACGUUGAGAAAUCUUAUUUUUUAAUAAUUAAGAUAACAAAAUUAAAAUUUCAUCUAAUUGGGAACCCAAAAAAGACCUCCCCUUAUAGGGUUGUGUGGCCCACAAAUUUUUUUAGAAUUUUUUUUAGGAUUAAUUGUAUAGUGCUUCCUAAACUUUCCACUAUUUUUUCUUGUUCCUAAAUUUUUUCAAGCAUCUAAAUUUCAUGAUAAAAUAACAACGGUUAAAAAAUAUUUUAGAAUUAACGAAAUUAUCAUGCCAUCGCCCAUUUAACUUUUUUUUUGCAUGCCAAUUUUGAUCUUUAAAUUUUGCAUGCUUUUCACUUUAGUCCUCAAAACAUAUAUGAAUUGGCAACACUAAAGAAGGCCUAUUCUCAUUUUGGAGAGUUGUGGGGUCCACACAAUUUUUUUAAGAAUUAAUUUAUCUAAUAAUAAUAUAAUAAUAUUAGAUUAUUUAUUUGGUAGUUGAAUUUUUUUACAGUGUAAAAAAUAUCUAUUUUGAUUUCGAAUGCCUUUUUAUUAAUCUUUUUUUUUUGUGCUUUCUGAUAAUUACCUACUGAUUUUUUCACUAAUCUAAAAUUUUGGAAUCAAAUACUUUAUUAGUUGUAUUACCUACUGAUUUUUUGUUUUAUUUUAUACUAAUUUAUUUAUUUUACUUAUUAGAUUUAAAUAUUUUUAGAAAGAAAUCUACUUUAAUUUCAUCUUUAAUUUUUUAUUAUUCAAUACUGAGAUAAAUAAUAUUUAAAAAUAUUAAUGCAUAAUAAAAAAAAUAAUAUUAAUAAUUAUAAUAAUUUAUUAUUGUAUUAUCUUCCAGCCGCAUCGCGCGGGACACCUUAACUGAUAUCUAUAUAUCUAUAAAUAGAGAGGAUGCAACGCGGAGAGAGGGAUGGUUUAUCUCUACUGAUCAUCACAUAGACUAGCACAAAUUUCAAAGUAGAUGGGUGUAACUGUCUCACGUUGCAAAUCAUCCUCACUAAAUUUUUGUUCAUAAAAAAAAAACUAUUCCAUGAAAAUAUGAUCAUGAAAUCAAGAAAAUUAAGUCAACUCUAUUUACUUGUGUUAAAUUAUGUAAAGCUUAAGCCGGUAGAGAAUGAUAUUUUUAUAUUUUUAUAUUUAACAUUUCAUUCCACAUUUAGGUUUGAGACUUUUUGAUAGACUCAUAACGUGGACUUGAAUUAAAUAUGAGGUAAUCAAUUAUUCUAAGAGCUCGGCAUGGCUCGAACUCAGAAUCUCAUACUCCGAUAUCAUAUUAACGUUAUUCUUUCAAAACUUAAGUGUUUACAGAAUAACAGUUGUUUUAUAUAAUUUAAGAUCGUAUCAGAGCCAGCAGUCAUGGAUUCAAUUUUUUUUUAUGUUGCGAAUUUGUGCAUGUUUUGGAAAGAGAUUGUUGGCUUAAAGAGGCCAACAAGCUGAGUUAGGCCGAGUCUAGUUCAAAAUGGCGAGAGGUUAGGUUGGGUCGAGUCACAAUCGAAAUUCAUAAAUAUUUUGGCUGUCCGCUUUAAAUAAAUUAGUUGCGUAUUUCUAACUGUUCGAAUUUUUAGAAUUAAUGAAUAACGCCAAUGAUCCUAUAAAUCAAUCUCCACCUACUUAAACAUCUGAAAAAUAAUAAUUAUUUUACAUAAUUUAACAACUUGUGUCUUAUAUUGCAAAUAUAAUUCUUCUGUAAUUUCGGAUGACCAUAUUAAUUGGUGAAGUAAUUUAACAACUUGUGUCUUAUAUUGCAAAUAUAAUUCUUCUGUAAUUUCGGACGACCAUAUUAAUUGGUGAAGUAAUUUCAGAUGCCCAUCUUAAUUCCUUCAACCAAAUUUUCUCACAAGAAAAUAAGGGAAAAAAAAAGGCGAAAAUGGGAAAAAAAAAAGGCGAAAAAGAAUUGGUGAAGUAAUUUCAGAUGACCAUCUUAAUUCCUUGAACCAAAUGUUCUCCCAAGAAAAUAAGGAUAAAAAAAAGGCGAAAAAGAAAAGUCACUAAUUUUGGUCCUAUUAUGAACAACGAAAUCCCAAGUGAAUCGUUGUUAGCAUUUUUUUUUUAAUUUGAUACAAUAAAAUUAAUUUGCAUGUCGAGAUAAUUCCUCGCUUCUCUCCUCACGUUGGGGACAAUCCCCAACAUGUAAAACUAGUACACCGCGUGGAUGCCGCGGAGGAGGGGGAACGGGGAGCAGGCAAAUGAGCGAGCCCGCUCGUGUUCGGUUGUUCAACUCAGUAUUUGGCUUGUUCGAGCUCGGCCUGUAAUAAAUGAGCCAAACUCGAACCAAAAUCAUAGGCCGUAUGAUGUUAGAAAAUUAAUCGCUUACGGCUUGAGCUCACCCGAUUCAAGAACAUGGCAUUACCAUCAACACGUUGCACCAACAUCUGUGAUUACUUAUUUAGUCACUAUUUUCUCCUGAGCAAGAAAAACAAAAGAGAUCCAACACCCUCAGGGGCAAAUUGCCGAACAUCUAGAGAACAAAAAAGGGCCACACCCGUAAGGUGUUCGACCUCGGAACCGUGGCGAAAGACAAUGAAAAAAAUGGCUUCACUCACCCAAUUUCUUGUGGAGAUUCGGAGGAACCCACCAAAGCUGCAGCCACGGAGAAUACACUCUGCACUCACCCCCGACGCUGCGCCGGUGCGCGAUAACGUUCUUGAGCUGAUACUCCCAAAUGUUCGCAGUGUAGUUAUUGCGCGGAUCUUCCGAACUGUACCAAUUGAUCUCAGCGAGGUAGAUGCUAUCGCCUUCGAAUCCGGGGAAAUGCGUCGAUGCCACCGACAUCGAGUUGCAUUGCCCCAAGAACCAGAUCUGGCCGCCGAGAUCAAAGCCUCUGGGCACCACCAUUACCUUCUCCGGCAAUCUGCUGAAGUCGAGCCUACAAAAUAUAAAUUCGGUUUCUUUUCCUGGGGUAGUAAAAUUCACCAUAACCAGCCACACAUUCCCCGCCGAUUCGACCAAGAACGGCGUUCCCAAAACCGGCAAUUUGGGCAUUCUCGUGAAGAAGCCGCCACCGCCACUGCUACUGCCGCCGUCCGUUGCUGAGGCGAAGUCGAAGAUCGCGCAGUCUCCGUUGGGCCCAAUGGCGAAGCAGCAGCGGUCUCUGUAAAAUAUGAUUUCUUGGGGAACGAACUUGGGGUGCUCGCGGAUGGUCCAGAGGCGGUCACCGCUCCCCCAGGUCAAGCAGCGGGAUGUUGCUGUGUCGACGAAGAGGGCCACCAAGAAGUCGCAGUCGGCGGAAGGGUCGGAGGAUAAGAUGGCUCGGCGGAUAAAAAAGUGGUGCUCGAACAGCAGAUUCCUCAUGAAGGGGUCGGGGGAGGCGAGGCCGAUGGUGCCGUCGAGGGGAGGGAGUCGGAUCGUGUCGCCCGUGACGGGGUUGCGGAGGACAAGGUUAAAAUCGGGAAAGAGGAGGAAGAGCCACCCGUAGCAGGAGCCGAUGCAGACGCUCUCAUGGGCGUCGGCGAGGUGGCGGAGGGCGAAGGUGCGAUUGCUGGUGAGGGAGAAAAAGGCGGGGUGGGCGGGAUCAUCAGCGCGGCAGCGGCUAAAGAAGAGGAGGAGGAAGGGGAGCUGCGGGGGAAGGCGGUGCGGGCCGGGCACGGUGGCGGGGAGCGCGGCUCUCCAACUCCGGCACACGCCGCGGAGGGUGGCGUAGGUGGCGGNUGAUGUUAGAAAAUUAAUCGUUUACGGCUUGAGCUCACCCGAUUCAAGAACAUGGCAUUACCAUCAACACGUUGCACCAACAUCUGUGAUUACUUAUUUAGUCACUAUUUUCUCCUGAGCAAGAAAAACAAAAGAGAUCCAACACCCUCAGGGGCAAAUUGCCGAACAUCUAGAGAACAAAAAAGGGCCACACCCGUAAGGUGUUCGACCUCGGAACCGUGGCGAAACACAAUGAAAAAAAAUGGCUUCACUCACCCAAUUUCUUGUGGAGAUUCGGAGGAACCCACCAAAGCUGCGGCCACGGAGAAUACACUCUGCACUCACCCUCGACGCUGCGCCUGUGCGCGAUAACGUUCUUGAGCUGAUACUCCCAAAUGUUCGCAGUGUAGUUAUUGCGCGGAUCUCCCGAACUGUACCAAUUGAUCUCAGCGAGGUAGAUGCUAUCGCUUUCGAAUCCGGGGAAAUGCGUCGACACCACCGACAUCGAGUUGCAUUGCCCCAAGAACCAGAUCCGGCCGCCGAUAUCAAAGUCUGCGGGCACCGCCGUUACCUUGUUGGGCAAUGUGCUGAAGUCGAGCCUAUGAAUCCAAAAUUCAGCUUCUUCUCCUUGGGGAGUAAAAUUCACCGUGACCAGCCACACAUUCCCAGCCGAUUCGACCAAGAACGGCGAUCCCGAAACUGGCAAUUUGGGCACUCUCGUGAAGAAGCUGCCACCGCCGCCACCGGUUGUGGAGGCGAAGUCGAAGAUCGCGCAGGUUCCGUUGGGGCCGAUGGCGAUGCAGCGGUGGUCUCUGUAGAAUAUGAUUUCUUCGGGGACGAACUUGGGGUGCUCGCGGACGGUCCAGAAAUUGUCGCCACUCCGCCAGGUCAAGCAGCAGGACGUUGGUGUGUCGGAGAAGAGGGCCACCAAGAAGUCGUGGUUGGCAGACGGGUCGGAGGAUAAGAUGGCUCGGUGGAUGAAAAAUUGGUGCUCGAACAGCAGAUUCCUUAUGAAGGGGUCAGGGGAGGCGACGAAUAUGGUGCCGUCGAGGGACGGAAGGCGGAUCGUGUCGCCCGUGACGGGGUUGCGGAGGACAAGGUUAAAAUCGGGAAAGAGGAGGAAGAGCCACCCGUAGCAGGAGCCGAUGCAGAUGCUCUCACGGGCGUCGGCGAGUUGGCGGAGGUCGAAGGUGAUAUUGGUGGUGAGGGAGAAGAACGCGGGGUGGGCGGGAUCAUCAGCGCGGCGGCGGCUAAAGAGGAGGAGGAGGAAGGGGAACUGCGGGGGGAGGCGGUGCGGGCGGGGCACGGUCGCGGGCAGCACGGCUCUCCAACUCCGGCACACGCUGCGGAGGGCGGUGUAGGUGGCGGCGGAGGUCACGUGCUUGGAAGCGACAUCGAUGAGGAUGUCGGUCGGAAGGUGCGACCAACUGCUNACAUCGAUGAGGAUGUCGGUCGGAAAGCGCGACCGAGAACUGUUAUGGAUUGCCUUUCUUCUCGUUGGAUCACCACACUCCAUCUUUGGCGCCUGCUAACUAACUGAGAUUCAAAAAUAGGAAGGAAACGUGGACUAGCUACAUAUAUAUACGAAUAGAGAGGAUGCAUUGCACGAAGAGAGAUAGCUACCGUUCAUCACGUAAACUAGCACAAAUUCCAAAGUAAGAUGAGCGUUGGAUAUAACUGUGGACUAUUCCUACUAAAAUUGGUUUGUUCAGAUUUUUUUUUUAUUUUUUUUUUGUGAGAAAGAUAGCACGCUACCCGCUUCGUUUAUUUCAUUUAGAAAUAAACUUAGCUGGAUAUGUAAAUUAACUAAGAUUCGAACUUGGGUCUCGGGUACCAACUACCAAACCCUUUGCUACUUGCUAUAGGGACGGUCGGUGGUUUGUUCAGAUUCAAAAGAAUAAUAGGUAUUCUGUCCAUAGAAAUAUGAUCACGAAAUCAAGAACACAUUAAAUCAUAUAAUUAAAUUUCAACUUUAAAUUUAAACUAAAAUAAAAUUUUAAAACCAUAAGAUCAAAACUUAAAUAUAUUUGAAAUCAAAUCCAAAUUUGAUUGUUAAUUGCAAUAAUAAAUAGUAAAUAUAACAACAAUCUAAAAUUAUUUAGAUAAAAAAGAUAUAAAAUAAUGUAAUAAAAAAAAAGAUUAUCUUUAGGAAAAAAAUAAAUUAAAAACUUGUUUAGUUAUAUUAUUUGUUUUGCAUAAGAAAAUUUUUUUUUGGCUAUUCAAUCAUUUUUUUAAUUAAAUAUCGAGAUUAAAUUCUAAAAAAAUAUUCUUUUAUUUUUUUUUAAUUCCGUUUGUCAUUAUAAAAUUUUCUAUACAUUUUUAAUUCCAUUUGCCUAUAUAUAAAUUUAUAUUAUUAAAUAUUUAAUUAUAUAUAAUAUGUUUUUUAAUUAUAUGUGCAUGUAUUUUAAGCCAAUGGGAUAUUAUACUCACAUAAAUAAUCAUGCCGGCCCACAAAUACAAGUUGACAUCUCUUACAAUAUUAGAUAUGUCAAUAUAUAAAUUAUUAUUUUUAAUAACACACUAUCAUAUUUUAUGCAUUUAUCUUGUAUAUUUAACAAUCACAUAUUUUUGCAUCAAGCUUUAGAUCACUACUUUCCAUCUUUGGCGCCUUAACUGAUAUUCAAAAGAAGAGGGAAAGGGAGACUUGGGAAGUUGGGGUUGCACUGGAGGAAUAAAUAAUAAAAAAAAGUUAUUACAUUUUCAUUUAGGCCAAUUUGCAUAAAAAAUCCACUUAUUUUGGGGUUUUGCAAAAUCGGGCCACCUUUUUCCUUUUUGCAGAUUCGGUCCGCUUUUUCUGCCGCCUGACCAAAAUGCCCCUCCUAUACAAUAGCCUCCCGCGUAUUUCUUGACAUACGUAUACUGCCCUGCCGUACGGUCUGGCGCGCAUUNUAUUUUCUCAUUUAUCGUGAGUUAUUGUAUUAAAGAAUUAAAGCCAAACAGGAAACAGCGGGGUCGGCGAAUAGCGGGGGUGGAAGUGGUCCGGGUUCCGAGAAAUGACUGAGAUUGAACGGGUCAUUUAAUGCGCGCCAGACCGUACGGCAGGGCAGUAUACGUAUGUCAAGAAAUACGCGGGAGGCUAUUGUAUAGGAGGGGCAUUUUGGUCAGGCGGCGGAAAAAGCGGACCGAAUCUGCAAAAAGGAAAAAGGUGGCCCGAUUUUGCAAAACCCCAAAAUAAGUGGAUUUUUUAUGCAAAUUGGCCUUUCAUUUAUUGUAAUAGUAUAUUUGAAUUAGCAAUCGAUGCCAUUAAGUUUGAUUUAGACUGAAUGAAGUGCCUAAAAUUAAGUUUCAUAUUUAUGAUUAUUUAAUUGAUAUUCAAAUAAUUUUAAAAUUAAUAAUUUUUAAUAAUAUUAGAUAAAUAAUAUUAUAAAAUUAUAAAAUUAAUUUAUAUAGUUCAAAUAGGUUAAAUCAAAGUAUAUAUCCAAGCUUUGACAAAUAUAAAAAACUAAUUGUGAAUCGUGUAUGUUUCUGUGAGAACAAACUAAUUGGAUGAAAAUAAUUAACACCCCCAACACCACGAUGAGAAUAAAUGGCCUAACCUUUUUGUCAGCAAUUUGAUGGGUCGUCUGGACGGAUAGAAACAAUUCCAUUUUCCGGACAGCACCCUCCAACGCUAUCCGAUCUCUGGCUCGUGUUAAUCUAUUAACGAAGGCUUGGAACAAACUACUAUGAUAUGUCUUUAGCUUUCUGUACCUUACUUUUCUCUUUUUCUACUUCCUCCCUCCUCCCUUUUUUCUUUUUUUCGCUUCUUCUUACUAUUUUUUUAUCUGUUUUCAGAGGCCAAAGUUGCUUCCACUUUAUAUGUUUAGUUUAUUUUACUUAAUGAAUGAAAUAUGUAGCUCGCUACCUAUUUCUCAAAAAAGAAUCAUAUAUGUUUUGCGUAAACGGUACGAAUGAAAUAUGUAGCUCGCUAUCUAUUUCUCAAAAAAGAAUCAUGCAUGUUUCGCGUAAACCGUACCAAAAACAUAGCAUUACCAUCAACAACAUAUUGCUCCAAAACCUGUGGUUGCUCUUUUAGCAACUAUUUUUACAUUGCUCCAAACCUGUGAUUACUCUCUUAUUAGUACUAUUUAUCCCUGAGCAAGAAAAACAAAAGUUGUCCACUUCCUCAGAGGCAAAUUGCCGAACACGUAUUGAACUAAAGAAAAAAGGCCACACCCGUAAGGUGUUCGACCUCGGAACCGUACGUGGCGAAACACAAUGGAAAAAAUCGCUUCACUCACCCAAUUUCUUGUGGAGAUUCGGAGGAACCCACCAAAGCUUCGGCCACGGAGUGUACACUCUGCACUCACCCUCGAUGCUGCUCCGGCCCACGAUGACGUUCUUGAGCUGGAACUCCCAAAUGCUUGCAGUGUAGUUAUUGCGCGGAUCUUCCAAACUAUGCCGAUUGAUUUCCGUGAGGUAGAUGCUAUCGCCUUCGAAUCCAGGGAAAUGCUUCGAUGCCACCGACAUCGAGUUGCAUUGCCCCAAGAACCAGAUCCGGCCGCCGAUAUCAGAGUCUGCAGGCACCGCCGUUACUUUGCGGGGCAAUGUGCUGAAGUCAAGCCUAUGAAUCGUAAAUUCGCCUUCUUCUGCUGGGGUAGUAAAAUUCACUGUAACCAGCCACACAUUUCCCGCCGAUUCGACCAAGAACGGAGUUCCCGAAACUGGCAAUUUGGGCACUCUCACGAAGAAGCCGCUGAUGCCGCCGCCGCCACUGCUGCUGCCGCCGUUGGUUGCUGAGGCGAAGUCGAAGAUCACGCAGUCUCCGUUGGGGCCGAUGGCGAUGCAGCGGUGGUCUCUGUAGAAUAUGAUUUCUUCGGGGACGAACUUGGGGUGCUCACGGACGGUCCAGAGAUGGUCGCGACUCUGCCAGGUCAAGCAGCGGGAUGUCGCUGUGUCGACGAAGAGGGCCACCAAGAAAUCGCGGUCGGCGGAAGGGUCGGAGGAUAAGAUGGCUCGGCAGAUAAAAAAUUGGUGCUCGAACAGCAGAUUCCUUAUGAAGGGGUCGGGGGAGGUGACGAAUAUGGUGCCGUCGAGGGGAGGGAGUCGGAUCGUGUCGCCCGUGACGGGGUUGCGGAGGACAAGCUUCAUAUAGGGAAAGAGGAGGAAGAGCCACCCGUAGGAGGAGCCGAUGCUGAUGCUUUUAUGGGCGUCAGCGAGGUGGCGGAGGGCGAAGGUGCGAUUGGUAGCGAGGGAGAAGAAGGUGGGGUCGGUGGGAUCGUCAGCGCCGCGGUGGCUAAAGAGGAGGCGGAAGGGGAGCUGUGGGGGGAGGCGGUGCGGGCGGGGCACGGUGGCGGGGAGCGCGGCUCUCCAACUCCGGCAUACACCGCGGAGGGUGUGGCGUAGGUGGCGGCGGAGGUCACGUGCUUGGAAGCGACUUUGAUGAAGAUGUUGGCCGGAAAGUGCAACCAACUGUUGUAGGUUGCCCUUCUUUUCUUUGGAUCACUGGUUUCCAUCUUUGGCGCCUACUAGUACUAACUGACAUUCAAAAAGAGGAGGGUAAUGGGGAGUACAUACAUAGGAAUAGAGAGGGUGCAAUGCAGGAAAAAUUUUAGAAUGCAACAGGUAUAUUGGUAAUUUGGCGUGACAAAUCAAUCAAAUGUAUAUUUUUAGGGAUAUAGGUCCCAUCAUAAUUGUAAAAAAAUAUUUUUAUUAUGCUUUUGUUUGAAAAGAAGGAAUGUGAUUGGCUUGUUAUUGAUGACAUUGUGCAAGUGUGACAGUGUAGAAUUCCUCGCAAUGCAGAAAAGCCCAGUUGGAAAUAAGAGGGCAGCGAAAACUUACAAGCUGAAUAGUCAACGUAUGUAGGAAUCAUAAUCGGAUCGGAUUACUUGUUUAACAAGCUUACAUGGACCGUCCUUGCCUCGAUAUUUUUUUCCAUGCCUAUGCCUCACGUUACGGAUCGGAUGCGUUGGAUACGGAUGAGAUGCGACGAAUGCCGAUCAAAGAGGUCUACCAGAGUCCAUUCUAUGUUCACACUCCAAAAUCCGAAAACAUAGGUGGAAAUCCCAUAGAGAAAUCAUAGAAAGGAAGAAGAGAGAAGAAGAAAGAUUUAUCGUGAAUUCUUUCGAAUUAGAUCAUAUUCGAUCAUCUCUCAUAGAAGAGAAAAGAGAAUAUAUUUAUAGAAUAACGAAACUCCUAAAUAUCCUAAAUCUCAUAAAGAGAUUAGGAUAAGGACUACAGUUAGGAUAUUCAUGAUAGAUAUACACUAUAACAUAUAUUUCUCAACUAAUAAAAAAUAUAUAAUUUAUUCUUAUCCUUAAUUUAUUAGGAUAAAUCUCAAUUCAUAUUUUAAGUAGAUUGGAUUAAAUUAAGAUCUGCCAAUGUUGACACACCACAUGGCAACAAGCCCAGAAGAGGGAUAAUUUAUAUCUACCAUUCAUGACAUAAACUAGCGCUAAUUUCAAAGUAGAUGGACGGUAUGUGUACCUGUUUCUCGUUGGAAAUUAUCCUCACUAAAUUUUAGUUCAGAAAAAAAAAAUCCAAAGAAAUACGAUCAUGAAAUCACGAAGAGCCGACCUCUAUUUACUGUGUUAAAUUAUAUAAAGCAAUUAUUCUUCUGUAGAAAUUUAACCUAUUAUAGAAUGAUAUUUUUAUAUUUUUAUAUUAAACAUUCUGUUUCACGUUUGAGCUGGAAAUUUUUUGAUAGGUCCAUAACGUGGACUUGAAUUAAAUAUGAGACAAUCAAUUAUACUAGAAGCCUGGUACGACUCGAAUUCGGAAUCUCAUGCUCUGAUAUCAGGUUAAAUAAUAAAGAUCUUGAAGAAUAAUGAUUGUUUUACAUAAUUUAAUUUGUGCAUAUACUGGAAAGGGAUUGUUGGCUUAAAGGGCCGAGUCUUGUUCAAAAUGGUGAGAGGUUUGAUUGGACCGAAUCAUGUUCGAAGUUGAGUAUGAUUGGUUAUGGACGUUUUAAGUAAAUUGGUUAUAUAUUUCUAACAAAUUAAAGUUUUGGAAUUAAUGAUUAGCGUCAACAGCCUGAUAAGUUAUUCUCUACUGGCUUAAGCUUAAAGAAUGAUGAUUAUUUCAUUUUUUUUUUUUUUUUGAGAAAUAGAUAGACAAGCUAUCUGCUUCAUUCAUUGAUAAAUGAACUAGGCGAACAGUAUGAAAGUAGCCGGGGCUUCCGAGGCGAGUCGAACAGCAAAGAAAACAAAAGGCGAAAAAAGACGGAAAAAAAAUUGAGGAAAAAGGAUUAAACAUAGCAUUACCAUCAACAACACAUAUGAAUCGUAUAUGUUUAGAGUAAAUCGUCCAAAAACAUAGCAUUACCAUCAACAACACAUUGCUCCAAAACCUGUGAUUGCUCUUUUAGCAACUAUUUUUCACAUUGCUCCAAACCUGUGAUUACUCUCUUAUUAGUUACUAUUUAUCCCUGAGCAAGAAAACAAAAAGAGAUCCACACCCUCAGAGGCAAAUUGCCGAGCACCAAGAGAACAGAAAAAGGUCACACCCGUAAGGUGUUCGACCUAGGAACCGCGACGAAACACAAUGAAAAAUAAAAUGACUUCACUCACCCAAUUUCUUGUGGAGAUUCGGAGGAACCUUGUUGAUGAAAAUUCAAAAUCCUAUAUAAAAUUCGUAAUCCUAUAUCUUAUUUUAAUUAUUAAUUACUUCUUUUAAUUUUAUUUUUUCUAUUUUUUUUUAUAAUUAUAUUUAUUGUGUUUUUAUUUAGUCCGCAAUGUGCGCGGACGUUGCGCACGUCCGGCUCCGUGCCCGUCCGCGUCAUGUGCGGGACUAAUUAUCGGCGGACGUUUUGCUUGAAACUAAUUAAGCGGAAGUGAACGUUGGGAUUCCCAACGUUCAACUCUACAACCUUCAUGCAUAUAUUUAUAUAUACAUCUACUGUGGUCAGUAGAGAGUGAUAUAUUAUCUUAUGCAUGAAGAAUAGUGAAUAGAAUUUUUUACUUUGAGUUUCCUUUUCAUAAGUUAAUUUUCUUCUGUUAAUCGCUGGGUGUUGAAAGAGUCUUCGUCAACCUCCUUCACGAUCGUGCUCGCAGGAGGAGGAAUUCCGGUCGUACCUUGGGGUGUUGUUCCCGGUUAAUCCCGCACGUAAGGACGGGAAUACGCCUUAGGGCAGUGCCUCGCACGCUUCCGGAUCAAUUAAAUAUUUAUUUGGAUUUGCAUUUAUCUGUAAGUUUGUAUUUAUUUAUUUUCAUAAUAAUAUUUAGUUAGAUUUAAAUCACAAUCAAAUUUCUGUGCGGUAUUUGUU